UUCUUAUCAAGAGAGAUUGAGGGACAGGCCCUAAGACAUCUCGGCAACAGGUUCAAGCGAUUGGAUACUGUGCUAAUUCCUGCAAAUGCAGCGUGCAUUUGAAAGAUGAGAA
rnacentral:ncRNA from 2 species